rfam:Myotis lucifugus cont2.14048, whole genome shotgun sequence.
GGUAGUUCUCAGGUGACGCACCCCAGAAUCGGGCUUCCUCCUCUCUGGUUCCGAGUGCGUCACUUGAGAACCACA